UACGUAGGGUGCAAGCGUUGUCCGGAAUCAUUGGGCGUAAAGCGCGCGUAGGUGGCUUCGUAAGUCCGUUGAUGAAAGUCAAAGGCUCAACCGUUUGAAUGCCGAUGGAUACUGCGAAGCUAGAGUACCGGAAGAGGCGAGUGGAAUUCCAUGGUGUAGCGGUGGAAUGCGCAGAUAUCAGGAGGAACACCAUAGGACGAAGGC
rnacentral:rRNA from 1 species